GCUCCGGGCUGCCUCAGCGCCGCGGGCCGGGGCCGCAGGGCCGCCCACAGGCCGCUCGGGCGCGGUCCUGGCUGCCUAAAUCUACCUAUUGACUGGUUAUCUCCUCUAGGAUAUAGAACUCCCACUCAAGCCAACUUUUCCUCCUGUGUUCCUUUUCUCGAGACAGGAUCUUGCUAUGUUGCCCAGACUGGCCUUCAAUUCCUGGCCUCACAUGAUCCUUCCAGAGCUUCCCAAGUAGCUGGGACUACGGGCAUGUGUCACAUACCUGGGUGGAAACAUAGAAGCUAU